GUGGACCCAAAUCCACGGGUGUAUCGCAAGGAUGAGUAAUAGUUGCAGGAUACCAAAAAUUUGGCACAUUUGUGCGUCGAUCGGUGAAUUCACGGUAUACUAAACCGGAAGGCCAGGUUGAAGGAUCCAAUGCCUUGCUUUUGAGCGUAGACGACAAACCCACCUUGAAGGAGAUAAAGGUGAGAGUGCUUAUAUCGCGAUCCUUAGGCAGCACCUUUAAUACUAUGACGUCAUCGGUGUCCAAUUGCAGGUGAGCAUUUCUCGGCACAGAGAGCUUGGUAGUGUGCGUAACAACAUCCCUGUUGACCGAUGUCAACAUAUCAGUUUUUAUGGCGGCAAGUGCAUCAUUCAAUCGACGAUCAAAUUCGUUUAAUAACACCGUUUUAAAGUUGGUCAAGAUAGUAGCAAACUCUUCGAGCAACGUGACUUUGCAGCAACGGAGACUGGAACAACUUGCACAGGACCACGAUGACUGUGAACCAGGUUUAACAAUCUCGGACAGGACCUCGACCGAGACGCCUAGGCAAGCUUGAUGAUUCCAGGCACGACGGACAAGAAGCGGCCAUAGCGGCAAACGACAGUAUCGCAACGCACAAACAGGAACGAAAAAACAAGCACGAACAGCGAAUAAAGUCUCACAGCAGUUCACUUGGGGAUAAUCCGGAAAUGAUCACAAAGGCUCAAUUCAAAUAAUGUGCGUGAGCAGAAUAUGAUCAACAGCAAAAUUACACACAAAAAGCCGUAAAAAAACAGAGCGUGAUGUAAACACAGCCGAUUAG